rnacentral:tRNA from 1 species
GGAGUUGUGCCUGAAGUAAAGGACCACUUUGAUAGAGUGACCCACGGGGGUUAAAGUCCCCUCAACUCCU